rnacentral:rRNA from 1 species
GGUUAGCAUGUCUAGUAUAGCACUUUAUACUGUGAAACUGCGAAUGGCUCAUUAAAUCAGUUAUCGUUUAUUUGAUAGUACCUUACUACAUGGAUACCUGUGGUAAUUCUAGAGCUAAUACAUGCUGAAAACCUCGACUUCGGAAGGGGUGUAUUUAUUAGAUAAAAAACCAAUGCCCUUCGGGGCUCCUUGGUGAAUCAUAAUAACUUAACGAAUCGCAUGGCCUUGCGCCGGCGAUGGUUCAUUCAAAUUUCUGCCCUAUCAACUUUCGAUGGUAGGAUAGUGGCCUACCAUGGUGGCAACGGGUAACGGGGAAUUAGGGUUCGAUUCCGGAGAGGGAGCCUGAGAAACGGCUACCACAUCCAAGGAAGGCAGCAGGCGCGCAAAUUACCCAAUCCCGACACGGGGAGGUAGUGACAAUAAAUACUGAUACGGGGCUCUUUUGGGUCUCGUAAUUGGAAUGAGUACAAUCUAAAUCCCUUAACGAGGAACAAUUGGAGGGCAAGUCUGGUGCCAGCAGCCGCGGUAAUUCCAGCUCCAAUAGCGUAUAUUAAAGUUGUUGCAGUUAAAAAGCUCGUAGUUGAACCUUGGGUCUGGCUGGCCGGUCCGCCUCACCGCGAGUACUGGUCCGGCUGGACCUUUCCUUCUGGGGAAUCUCAUGGCCUUCACUGGCUGUGGGGGGAACCAGGACUUUUACUGUGAAAAAAUUAGAGUGUUCAAAGCAGGCCUUUGCUCGAAUACAUUAGCAUGGAAUAAUAGAAUAGGACGUGCGGUUCUAUUUUGUUGGUUUCUAGGACCGCCGUAAUGAUUAAUAGGGAUAGUCGGGGGCGUCAGUAUUCAGCUGUCAGAGGUGAAAUUCUUGGAUUUGCUGAAGACUAACUACUGCGAAAGCAUUCGCCAAGGAUGUUUUCAUUAAUCAGGAACGAAAGUUAGGGGAUCGAAGACGAUCAGAUACCGUCGUAGUCUUAACCAUAAACUAUGCCGACUAGGGAUCGGACGGUGUUUCUAUUAUGACCCGUUCGGCACUUACGAGAAAUCAAGUUUUGGGGU